rnacentral:rRNA from 1 species
GUUGGUGAGGUAAAGGCUUACCAAGGCGACGAUCUGUAGCGGGUCUGAGAGGAUGAUCCGCCACACUGGAACUGAGACACGGUCCAGACUCCUACGGGAGGCAGCUGUGGGGAAUUUUGGACAAUGGGGGCAACCCUGAUCCAGCCAUGCCGCGUGAGUGAAGAAGGCCUUCGGGUUGUAAAGCUCUUUCGGCCGGGAAGAAAUCGCAUGGGCCAAUACCCUGUGUGGAUGACGGUACCGGAAUAAGAAGCACCGGCUAACUACGUGCCAGCAGCCGCGGUAAUACGUAGGGUGCGAGCGUUAAUCGGAAUUACUGGGCGUAAAGCGUGCGCAGGCGGUUUUGUAAGACAGGCGUGAAAUCCCCGGGCUUAACCUGGGAACUGCGUUUGUGACUGCAAGGCUAGAGUACGGCAGAGGGGGUGGAAUUCCACGUGUAGCAGUGAAAUGCGUAGAGAUGUGGAGGAACACCAAUGGCGAAGGCAGCCCCCUGGGUCGAUACUGACGCUCAUGCACGAAAGCGUGGGUAGCAAACAGGAUUAGAUACCCUGGUAGUCCACGCCCUAAACUAUGUCAACUAGGUGUUGGGUGGGUAAAACCAUUUAGUACCGUAGCUAACACGUGAAGUUGACCGCCUGGGGAGUACGGCCGCAAGGUUAAAACUCAAAGGAAUUGACGGGGACCCGCACAAGCGGUGGAUGAUGUGGAUUAAUUCGAUGCAACGCGAAAAACCUUACCUACCCUUGACAUGCCAGGAACUUGCCAGAGAUGGCUUGGUGCCCGAAAGGGAGCCUGGACACAGGUGCUGCAUGGCUGUCGUCAGCUCGUGUCGUGAGAUGUUGGGUUAAGUCCCGCAACGAGCGCAACCCUUGUCGUUAAUUGCCAUCAUUUAGUUGGGCACUUUAACGAGACUGCCGGUGACAAACCGGAGGAAGGUGGGGAUGACGUCAAGUCCUCAUGGCCCUUAUGGGUAGGGCUUCACACGUCAUACAAUGGUCGGUACAAAGGGUUGCCAAGCCGCGAGGCGGAGCCAAUCCCAGAAAGCCGAUCGUAGUCCGGAUUGCAGGCUGCAACUCGCCUGCAUGAAGUCGGAAUCGCUAGUAAUCGUGGAUCAGCAUGUCACGGUGAAUACGUUCCCGGGUCUUGUACACACCGCCCGUCACACCAUGGGAGCGGGUUCCGCCAGAAGUAGGUAGCCUAACCGCAAGGGGGGCGCUUACCACGGCGGGGUUCGUGACUGGGGUGAAGUCGUAACAAGGUA